CUGAGAAGUUCUAUUUCAGCUGCCACAGGAUGGGUGUAACUUCCAUUAGCUUCUCCUAGCUCAUGUAUCCAAAAGAAAAAAACUUGUUUGAUAUCAGUAUCAUGUACCAACACUAUGUGAACUUUUCAUCUCUCUUCAAGGCCACCAGUUUGGAUUUUUUCUGUCUACAGUAUUUCUAAAGGUAACUGUAACAUUUCAAAGAAAGAUCACUUGUAGGAAACCUGUAGGUUACUUCAUCAAGGCUAGUCAGAUUGUUAUGAACAGUAAUAUCUUAAAUAUCUCUUAAGAUAGUAGUAUUCUAGGUAGAGCUAUUAACAUUUCUGACUAUGAAGUAGUUUUGCAUAAGCCAUUGAUCAAAAAUGUUCAGCUGAAGUAAGGGCCAUAUAAAGAGGGUUGAAGAAAAUUCUCCUUGGGUGAUAUAUUGAUGUCUGUUGACACAGAAUAAACCAGCAAGUUUCAUUUACAGACUUUAUCUAGCAAAAAAAUAUAUUCAAUUCUUAGCUUUACUCAUGUGAGUAUUCCCACUGAAAUCAACAGAUUAUUCAUUGAAAUAAAAGAGAAUAGUCUGUCUAAAAUGUCAAGCAUAUAUAAUUUUUUUACGGGAUUGAGACUUUAAGGCCCGACCCUCAGCAGCUGCAAAUAGGAGUAGCUCCAAUGACUUCAAGGAGGUUUGCAAAUAUACAC